GCUUAACGCGAAGAACCUUACCAGGUCUUGACAUCCCUCUGACCGCCGCAGAGAUGUGGCUUUCCUUCGGGACAGAGGAGACAGGUGGUGCAUGGUUGUCGUCAGCUCGUGUCGUGAGAUGUUGGGUUAAGUCCCGCAACGAGCGCAACCCUUGAUCUUAGUUGCCAGCACUUCGGGUGGGCACUCUAAGGUGACUGCCGGUGACAAACCGGAGGAAGGUGGGGAUGACGUCAAAUCAUCAUGCCCCUUAUGACCUGGGCUACACACGUACUACAAUGGCCAGUACAACGGGAAGCGAAGCCGCGAGGCGGAGCCAAUCCUAUCAAAGCUGGUCUCAGUUCGGAUUGCAGGCCGCAACUCGCCUGCAUGAAGUCGGAAUUGCUAGUAAUCGCGGAUCAGCAUGCCGCGGUGAAUACGUUCCCGGGUCUUGUACACACCG
rnacentral:rRNA from 1 species